rnacentral:rRNA from 1 species
CACGUAGGGUGCGAGCGUUGUCCGGAAUUAUUGGGCGUAAAGAGCUCGUAGGCGGUGUGUCGCGUCGGCCGUGAAAACCUGCAGCUUAACUGUGGGCUUGCGGUCGAUACGGGCAUCACUGGAGUUCGGCAGGGGAGACUGGAAUUCCUGGUGUAGCGGUGAAAUGCGCAGAUAUCAGGAGGAACACCGGUGGCGAAGGCGGUUCUCUGGGCCUGUACUGACGCUGAGGAGCGAAAGCGUGGGGAGCAAACAGG